GAUGAACGCUGGCGGCGUGCCUAAUACAUGCAAGUCGAGCGAACGGACGAGGAGCUUGCUUCGCGGAUGUUAGCGGCAGACGGGUGAGUAACACGUGUAUAACCUCCCUAUAAGACUGGGAUAACUUCGGGAAACCGGCGCUAACACCGGAGAAUAUUUUGCACCGCAUGGUUCGAAGGUGAGAUACGGUGGUGCUGUCACUUAUAGAUGGAUCUCGGCUGCAUUAGCUAGUUGUUAAGGUAACGGGUUACCAAGGCAACGAGGCAUAGCCGACCGCAGAGGCGGAUCGCCCACCCGGGAAGGUGGCCACGGUCCUGACUCCUGCGGGAGGCAGCAGUAGGGAAUGUUCGGCAGUGGGCGAAAGCAUGACGGAGCAACGGCGCGUGAGUUAUGAAGGCCUUCCGAUCGUAAAACUCUGUUAUUAGGGAAGAACAUAUGUGUAAGUAACUGUGCACAUCUUGACGGUAACUAAUCAGAAAGCAACGGCUAACUACGUG
rnacentral:rRNA from 1 species